CAUCCUCCAAGGCUAAAUACUCCUGACUGACCGAUAGUGAACCAGUACCGUGAGGGAAAGGCGAAAAGAACCCCGGCGAGGGGAGUGAAAAAGAACCUGAAACCGUGUACGUACAAGCAGUGGGAGCACAGGUUUACCUGUGUGACUGCGUACCUUUUGUAUAAUGGGUCAGCGACUUAUAUUCUGUAGCAAGGUUAACCGAAUAGGGGAGCCGGAGGGAAACCGAGUCUUAACCGGGCGUUAAGUUGCAGGGUAUAGACCCGAAACCCGGUGAUCUAGCCAUGGGCAGGUUGAAGGUUGGGUAACACUAACUGGAGGACCGAACCGACUAAUGUUGAAAAAUUAGCGGAUGACCUGUGGCUGGGGGUGAAAGGCCAAUCAAACCGGGAGAUAGCUGGUUCUCCCCGAAAGCUAUUUAGGUAGCGCCUCGUGAAUUCAUCUCCGGGGGUAGAGCACUGUUUCGGCUAGGGGGCCAUCCCGGCUUACCAACCCGAUGCAAACUGCGAAUACCGGAGAAUGUUAUCACGGGAGACACACGGCGGGUGCUAACGUCCGUCGUGAAGAGGGAAACAACCCAGACCGCCAGCUAAGGUCCCAAAGUCAUGGUUAAGUGGGAAACGAUGUGGGAAGGCCCAGACAGCCAGGAUGUUGGCUUAGAAGCAGCCAUCAUUUAAAGAAAGCGUAAUAGCUCACUGGUCGAGUCGGCCUGCGCGGAAGAUGUAACGGGGCUAAACCAUGCACCGAAGCUGCGGCAGCGACGCUGAUGCGUUGUUGGGUAGGGGAGCGUUCUGUAAGCCUGUGAAGGUGGCCUGUGAGGGUUGCUGGAGGUAUCAGAAGUGCGAAUGCUGACAUAAGUAACGAUAAAGCGGGUGAAAAGCCCGCUCGCCGGAAGACCAAGGGUUCCUGUCCAACGUUAAUCGGGGCAGGGUGAGUCGACCCCUAAGGCGAGGCCGAAAGGCGUAGUCGAUGGGAAACGGGUUAAUAUUCCCGUACUUGGUGUUACUGCGAAGGGGGGACGGAGAAGGCUAUGUUGGCCGGGCGACGGUUGUCCCGGUUUAAGCGUGUAGGUGUGUGUUCCAGGUAAAUCCGGUUCACUUUAACACUGAGGCGUGAUGACGAGGCACUACGGUGCUGAAGCAACAAAUGCCCUGCUUCCAGGAAAAGCCUCUAAGCAUCAGGUAACAUCAAAUCGUACCCCAAACCGACACAGGUGGUCAGGUAGAGAAUACCAAGGCGCUUGAGAGAACUCGGGUGAAGGAACUAGGCAAAAUGGUGCCGUAACUUCGGGAGAAGGCACGCUGACACGUAGGUGAAGUGAUUUACUCACGGAGCUGAAGUCAGUCGAAGAUACCAGCUGGCUGCAACUGUUUAUUAAAAACACAGCACUGUGCAAACACGAAAGUGGACGUAUACGGUGUGACGCCUGCCCGGUGCCGGAAGGUUAAUUGAUGGGGUCAGCGCAAGCGAAGCUCCUGAUCGAAGCCCCGGUAAACGGCGGCCGUAACUAUAACGGUCCUAAGGUAGCGAAAUUCCUUGUCGGGUAAGUUCCGACCUGCACGAAUGGCGUAAUGAUGGCCAGGCUGUCUCCACCCGAGACUCAGUGAAAUUGAACUCGCUGUGAAGAUGCAGUGUACCCGCGGCAAGACGGAAAGACCCCGUGAACCUUUACUAUAGCUUGACACUGAACAUUGAGCCUUGAUGUGUAGGAUAGGUGGGAGGCUUUGAAGUGUGGACGCCAGUCUGCAUGGAGCCGACCUUGAAAUACCACCCUUUAAUGUUUGAUGUUCUAACGUGGACCCGU
rnacentral:rRNA from 1 species